CAACGAACGCUGGCGGCAGGCCUAACACAUGCAAGUCGAACGCCCUAGCAAUAGGGAGUGGCAGACGGGUGAGUAACGCGUGGGAACCUUCCCUAUAGUACGGAAUAUACCAGGGAAACUUGGAGCAAUACCGUAUACGCCCGAAAGGGGAAAGAUUUAUCGCUAUAGGAUGGGCCCGCGUAGGAUUAGCUAGUUGGUGAGGUAACGGCUCACCAAGGCGACGACGGGUAGCCGGCCUGAGAGGGCGACCGGCCACACUGGGACUGAGACACGGCCCAGACUCCUACGGGAGGCAGCAGUGGGGAAUAUUGCGCAAUGGGCGAAAGCCUGACGCAGCAACGCCGCGUGAGGGAUGACGGCCUUCGGGUUGUAAACCUCUUUCAGCAGGGAAGAAGCGAAAGUGACGGUACCUGCAGAAGAAGCACCGGCUAACUACGUGC
rnacentral:rRNA from 1 species